GCAGUGUACCCGCGGCAAGACGGAAAGACCCCGUGAACCUUUACUAUAGCUUGACACUGAACAUUGAGCCUUGAUGUGUAGGAUAGGUGGGAGGCUUUGAAGCGUGGACGCCAGUCUGCGUGGAGCCGACCUUGAAAUACCACCCUUUAAUGUUUGAUGUUCUAACGUGGAUCCGUAAUCCGGGUUGCGGACAGUGUCUGGUGGGUAGUUUGACUGGGGCGGUCUCCUCCUAAAGAGUAACGGAGGAGCACGAAGGUUGGCUAAUCCUGGUCGGACAUCAGGAGGUUAGUGCAAUGGCAUAAGCCAGCUUGACUGCGAGCGUGACGGCGCGAGCAGGUGCGAAAGCAGGUCAUAGUGAUCCGGUGGUUCUGAAUGGAAGGGCCAUCGCUCAACGGAUAAAAGGUACUCCGGGGAUAACAGGCUGAUACCGCCCAAGAGUUCAUAUCGACGGCGGUGUUUGGCACCUCGAUGUCGGCUCAUCACAUCCUGGGGCUGAAGUAGGUCCCAAGGGUAUGGCUGUUCGCCAUUUAAAGUGGUACGCGAGCUGGGUUUAGAACGUCGUGAGACAGUUCGGUCCCUAUCUGCCGUGGGCGCUGGAGAACUGAGGGGGGCUGCUCCUAGUACGAGAGGACCGGAGUGGACGCAUCACUGGUGUUCGGGUUGUCAUGCCAAUGGCACUGCCCGGUAGCUAAAUGCGGAAGAGAUAAGUGCUGAAAGCAUCUAAGCACGAAACUUGCCCCGAGAUGA
rnacentral:rRNA from 1 species